rnacentral:misc_RNA from 1 species
GAUGAAGAACGUAGCGAAAUGCGAUAAGUAAUGUGAAUUGCAGAAUUCAGUGAAUCAUCGAAUCUUUGAACGCACAUUGCGCCCAUUAGUAUUCUAGUGGGCAUGCCUGUUCGAGCGUCAUUAAGUCCACUUAAGCCCUGCUUAGUGUUUGGAGACUGCUCCAGCGGUGCUACCCUGUAGCUACCCUGCAGCUCCUCAAAGACAGCGGCGGAGUUGUGGUAUCCUCUGAGCUUAGUAACUUGUUCUAGCUUUCGAGUACACCACUUCCCCUGCCGUAAAACCCUUAAUUUUUAAUGGUUGACCUCGGAUCAGGUAGGAAUACCCGCUGAACUUAAGCAUAUCAAUAAGCGGAGGA